rnacentral:ncRNA from 1 species
UGGUUAAAAUUUAAUAAAACUUAUUUAUGCUACGAAUGGGCGUAGCGUCUCUACAAGACACCGUAAUGUCUAACAAUAAGUCUUUGCUCAAUGAUA